rnacentral:rRNA from 1 species
AGCGUACACGGUGGAUGCCCUGGCAGUCAGAGGCGAUGAAGGACGUGCUAAUCUGCGAUAAGCGUCGGUAAGGUGAUAUGAACCGUUAUAACCGGCGAUUUCCGAAUGGGGAAACCCAGUGUGAUUCGUCACACUAUCAUUAACUGAAUCCAUAGGUUAAUGAGGCGAACCGGGGGAACUGAAACAUCUAAGUACCCCGAGGAAAAGAAAUCAACCGAGAUUCCCCCAGUAGCGGCGAGCGAACGGGGAGCAGCCCAGAGCCUGAAUCAGUGUGUGUGUUAGUGGAAGCGUCUGGAAAGGCGUGCGAUACAGGGUGACAGCCCCGUACACAAAAAUGCACAUAUUGUGAGCUCGAUGAGUAGGGCGGGACACGUGGUAUCCUGUCUGAAUAUGGGGGGACCAUCCUCCAAGGCUAAAUACUCCUGACUGACCGAUAGUGAACCAGUACCGUGAGGGAAAGGCGAAAAGAACCCCGGCGAGGGGAGUGAAAAAGAACCUGAAACCGUGUACGUACAAGCAGUGGGAGCACGCUUAGGCGUGUGACUGCGUACCUUUUGUAUAAUGGGUCAGCGACUUAUAUUCUGUAGCAAGGUUAACCGAAUAGGGGAGCCGAAGGGAAACCGAGUCUUAACUGGGCGUUAAGUUGCAGGGUAUAGACCCGAAACCCGGUGAUCUAGCCAUGGGCAGGUUGAAGGUUGGGUAACACUAACUGGAGGACCGAACCGACUAAUGUUGAAAAAUUAGCGGAUGACUUGUGGCUGGGGGUGAAAGGCCAAUCAAACCGGGAGAUAGCUGGUUCUCCCCGAAAGCUAUUUAGGUAGCGCCUCGUGAAUUCAUCUCCGGGGUAGAGCACUGUUUCGGCAAGGGGGUCAUCCCGACUUACCAACCCGAUGCAAACUGCGAAUACCGGAGAAUGUUAUCACGGGAGACACACGGCGGGUGCUAACGUCCGUCGUGAAGAGGGAAACAACCCAGACCGCCAGCUAAGGUCCCAAAGUCAUGGUUAAGUGGGAAACGAUGUGGGAAGGCCCAGACAGCCAGGAUGUUGGCUUAGAAGCAGCCAUCAUUUAAAGAAAGCGUAAUAGCUCACUGGUCGAGUCGGCCUGCGCGGAAGAUGUAACGGGGCUAAACCAUGCACCGAAGCUGCGGCAGCGACACUAUGUGUUGUUGGGUAGGGGAGCGUUCUGUAAGCCUGUGAAGGUGUACUGUGAGGUAUGCUGGAGGUAUCAGAAGUGCGAAUGCUGACAUAAGUAACGAUAAAGCGGGUGAAAAGCCCGCUCGCCGGAAGACCAAGGGUUCCUGUCCAACGUUAAUCGGGGCAGGGUGAGUCGACUCCUAAGGCGAGGCCGAAAGGCGUAGUCGAUGGGAAACAGGUUAAUAUUCCUGUACUUGGUGUUACUGCGAAGGGGGACGGAGAAGGCUAUGUUGGCCGGGCGACGGUUGUCCCGGUUUAAGCGUGUAGGCUGGUUUUCCAGGCAAAUCCGGAAAACUAAGGCUGAGGCGUGAUGACGAGGCACUACGGUGCUGAAGCAACAAAUGCCCUGCUUCCAGGAAAAGCCUCUAAGCAUCAGGUAACAUCAAAUCGUACCCCAAACCGACACAGGUGGUCAGGUAGAGAAUACCAAGGCGCUUGAGAGAACUCGGGUGAAGGAACUAGGCAAAAUGGUGCCGUAACUUCGGGAGAAGGCACGCUGAUAUGUAGGUGAAGUCCCUCGCGGAUGGAGCUGAAAUCAGUCGAAGAUACCAGCUGGCUGCAACUGUUUAUUAAAAACACAGCACUGUGCAAACACGAAAGUGGACGUAUACGGUGUGACGCCUGCCCGGUGCCGGAAGGUUAAUUGAUGGGGUCAGCGCAAGCGAAGCUCUUGAUCGAAGCCCCGGUAAACGGCGGCCGUAACUAUAACGGUCCUAAGGUAGCGAAAUUCCUUGUCGGGUAAGUUCCGACCUGCACGAAUGGCGUAAUGAUGGCCAGGCUGUCUCCACCCGAGACUCAGUGAAAUUGAACUCGCUGUGAAGAUGCAGUGUACCCGCGGCAAGACGGAAAGACCCCGUGAACCUUUACUAUAGCUUGACACUGAACAUUGAGCCUUGAUGUGUAGGAUAGGUGGGAGGCUUUGAAGUGUGGACGCCAGUCUGCAUGGAGCCGACCUUGAAAUACCACCCUUUAAUGUUUGAUGUUCUAACGUUGACCCGUAAUCCGGGUUGCGGACAGUGUCUGGUGGGUAGUUUGACUGGGGCGGUCUCCUCCUAAAGAGUAACGGAGGAGCACGAAGGUUGGCUAAUCCUGGUCGGACAUCAGGAGGUUAGUGCAAUGGCAUAAGCCAGCUUGACUGCGAGCGUGACGGCGCGAGCAGGUGCGAAAGCAGGUCAUAGUGAUCCGGUGGUUCUGAAUGGAAGGGCCAUCGCUCAACGGAUAAAAGGUACUCCGGGGAUAACAGGCUGAUACCGCCCAAGAGUUCAUAUCGACGGCGGUGUUUGGCACCUCGAUGUCGGCUCAUCACAUCCUGGGGCUGAAGUAGGUCCCAAGGGUAUGGCUGUUCGCCAUUUAAAGUGGUACGCGAGCUGGGUUUAGAACGUCGUGAGACAGUUCGGUCCCUAUCUGCCGUGGGCGCUGGAGAACUGAGGGGGGCUGCUCCUAGUACGAGAGGACCGGAGUGGACGCAUCACUGGUGUUCGGGUUGUCAUGCCAAUGGCACUGCCCGGUAGCUAAAUGCGGAAGAGAUAAGUGCUGAAAGCAUCUAAGCACGAAACUUGCCCCGAGAUGAGUUCUCCCUGACUCCUUGA